rnacentral:rRNA from 1 species
GACGAACGCUGGCGGCGUGCUUCACACCUGCAAGUCGAACGAUGAUGCCCAGCUUGCUGGGUGGAUUAGUGGCGAACGGGUGAGUAACCGGUGAGUAACCUGACCCUGACUCUGGGAUAAGCGUUGGCAACGACGUCUACUACUGCAUAUGACUGCCGGCCGCAUGGUCUGGUGGUGGAAAGAUUUUUUGGUUGGGGAUGGACUCGCGGCCGAUCCGCGUGUUGGUGAGGUAAUGGCUCACCAAGGCGACUGCGGGUAGCUGGCCUGAGAGGGUGACCGGCCACACUGGGACUGCGGCACGGCCCAGAUUCCUACGGGAGGCAGCAGUGAGAAAUAUGGCACAAUGGGCGAAAGCCUGAUGCAGCAACGCCGCGUGAGGGAUGACGGCCUUCAGGUUGUAAACCUCUUUUAGUAGGGAAAAAGCGAAAGUGACGGUACCUGCAGAAAAAGCACCGGCUAACUACGUGCCAGCCGCCGCCGUAACAC